rnacentral:rRNA from 1 species
GUCGAGCGAGGUCUUCGGGCCUAGCGGCGGACGGGUGAGUAACGCGUGGGAACGUGCCCUUUGCUACGGAAUAGUCCCGGGAAACUGGGUUUAAUACCGUAUGUGCCCUCCAUUUUGGUGAUGGUUGGGGAAAGAUUUAUCGGCAAAGGAUCGGCCCGCGUUGGAUUAGGUAGUUGGUGGGGUAAUGGCCUACCAAGCCGACGAUCCAUAGCUGGUUUGAGAGGAUGAUCAGCCACACUGGGACUGAGACACGGCCCAGACUCCUACGGGAGGCAGCAGUGGGGAAUCUUAGACAAUGGGGGCAACCCUGAUCUAGCCAUGCCGCGUGAGUGAUGAAGGCCUUAGGGUUGUAAAGCUCUUUCAGCUGGGAAGAUAAUGACGGUACCAGCAGAAGAAGCCCCGGCUAACUCCGUGCCAGCAGCCGCGGUAAUACGGAGGGGGCUAGCGUUGUUCGGAAUUACUGGGCGUAAAGCGCACGUAGGCGGACUGGAAAGUUGGGGGUGAAAUCCCGGGGCUCAACCUCGGAACUGCCUUCAAAACUAUCAGUCUGGAGUUCGAGAGAGGUGAGUGGAAUUCCGAGUGUAGAGGUGAAAUUCGUAGAUAUUCGGAGGAACACCAGUGGCGAAGGCGGCUCACUGGCUCGAUACUGACGCUGAGGUGCGAAAGCGU